UGGAUGAGCAGAGGUCACGGUACAGAUGUGGCAGGGUAUGGGAGUGAAGAGAUAAGAAGGGAGAAUGCCAUGGAGGGGUUUGAAGGUGAGAAUUAGAAGAUUAUGCAGGAUUUGACAAUAGAAUGGCAACCAGUGGAGAGAUUUAAGAAAGGGCAUGAUGGAAGAGGUGUAUGAUUCUUGCAGCAGCAUGCUGGCCAAUGAUGAGGUAACUGAGGUGAGACAAUGGAAGACCAACAAGGAGGUUACAGUAAUUAAGAUGAGAGAGGCCUGCGGUGUGCAUCACAAUUGUUGUUCAUGAGAUAGUGAGGAAGGGUUGCAUUUUUAUAAUAUUAUCAAGAGAGAAGCAACCUGAUUUUACAAAGGACUAAAGCGGGGGAUCCGGUGGCAAGGAAGACAAGGCUACAUGCCUGAUCUAUAGGGUGGAUGAUGACAUUGUCAAUAUAAAAGGAUACAUCCAUUAUAUACCAUCACAACUGAGAUGUAGCACAACAAGCCUUUGUUAGACUUGUCCAGCUUUCAAAAAGGCUAGUGAUGCCACUUCAGUUCACAAAGCUCUGAAAGGCCCAUCAAGGACAGGGAGUGCUCCAGCUGUUAGGAGCUCAAAGGGGAAGAGCAGUAACAGACAUGACAAGAUUCAUAACCAGCAGGAGAAAACUGACCCAUUUCCGUCGCCGGAGGCAACAAAGAGGAAGUCAAAGAGGAAGAGGAGGUGGAUCUGGAAGGAGAAGGCAGCAUCAUGACAGAAGGAGGAAAGGUUGCAGAUCUCGUGAGAAUAGGAAAAGGAGAAGACAUGAAUAAACACUUUCUUCAGAUUCUUCUUCACUCUUGAUCUGAAAAGCUGACUUCUCUCUGCCAGACAAAAAAUGAAAUGAAAUGAAGCAAAUUUGUUCCAUCAGAAUACCCAAGGUGUCUUCCCAGGAAUCCAAGAACCUGAAAAUGAAUUGAACAAGGCCACCUGUCAAUAAA